GCGCUGAUUUGCUCUAUGCGGGAAGAAUAACCACGGUAACCUGUGGCUAAGAGUGUAGAAUAAGGUGCAAUCCUAUUAGUUUGUUGGUAGUGUAAAGGACUACCAAGGCAGUGAUGGGUAACGGGAAAUCAGGGUUUGAUUCCGGAGAGGGAGCCUGAGAGAUGGCUCCCACGUCCAAGGAUGGCAGCAGGCGCGAAAAUUGUCCACUCUUUUGAGAGGAGACAGUUAUGAAACGUGAGUAGAAGGGUCGAGUGUAAAAACCUUGACGUGAAGCAAUUGGAGGGCAAGUUUUGGUGCCAGCAGCCGCGGUAAUUCCAACUCCAAGAGUGUCUAUGGUGGAUGCUGCAGUUAAAGGGUCCGUAGUCGUAGAUGCAAUUAAAAGGUGGUGUUAAAAGCCAUUGAGUUUGUUGAGAGUAGCGGAACGGAUAGGGAGCAUGGUAUAGGUGGGCAAAGAAUGAAAUCUCAAGACCCCACCUGGACCAACGGAGGCGAAAGCGAUGCUCUUAGACGUAUCUGGGGAUCAAGGACGAAGGCUAGAGUAUCGAAAGUGAUUAGACACCGCUGUAGUUCUAGCAGUAAACUAUGCCGACAAUGCUGGGUGUUGCGAGAGCGAUGCUUGGUGUGGGAGAAAUCUUAGUUUUCGGGCUCUGGGGAUAGUACGCUCGCAAGGGUGAAACUUAAAGCGAAAUUGACGGAAGGACACUACCAGGAGUGGAUUGUGCUGCUUAAUUUAACUCAACGCGGGAAAACUUACCAGGGUCAAGUCUAUCGUAGAUUGGAGACAUGAGGUAGACAAGAGUGGUGCAUGGCCGUUGGAAAUUGAUGGGGCGACUUUUAGCUUAAGUGCUGGAACCAGUGAGAUCUUCUAGACAGGUGUUAUUUAGGCACAGGAGGGAGAAGGCAAUAACAGGUCCGUGAUGCCCUUAGAUAUCCUGGGCAGCAAGCGCAAUACAAUAUCUCUUGAGAAGACAAAGCAAUUUGAGAUGAGUAGGAUUAGCUUUUGUAAAUAAGCUAUGAAU
rnacentral:rRNA from 1 species